GGCAAGCGUUGUCCGGAAUUAUUGGGCGUAAAGCGCGCGCAGGCGGUCCUUUAAGUCUGAUGUGAAAGCCCACGGCUCAACCGUGGAGGGUCAUUGGAAACUGGAGGACUUGAGUACAGAAGAGGAAAGCGGAAUUCCACGUGUAGCGGUGAAAUGCGUAGAGAUGUGGAGGAACACCAGUGGCGAAGGCGGCUUUCUGGUCUGUAACUGACGCUGAGGCGCGAAAGCGUGGGGAGCAAACAGGAUUAGAUACCCUGGUAGUCCACGCCGUAAACGAUGAGUGCUAAGUGUUAGGGGGUUUCCGCCCCUUAGUGCUGCAGCUAACGCAUUAAGCACUCCGCCUGGGGAGUACGGCCGCAAGGCUGAAACU
rnacentral:rRNA from 1 species